rfam:Gossypium hirsutum cultivar TM-1 chromosome 23, whole genome shotgun sequence
GGUUCAAAUUUUUAUCUAAUUCUACUAUUAAAAAUAGACAUGGUUGAUAGAAUAAUCAGACAAUUACACAUGGCGUACCACAUGUACUUCAUAUCGACAUAGAGGGGUCAAUUUUUAACCGUAGAUAUGGAUAAAAUUUUUAACC